rnacentral:rRNA from 1 species
CCCGGUGAUCUAGCCAUGGGCAGGUUGAAGGUUGGGUAACACUAACUGGAGGACCGAACCGACUAAUGUUGAAAAAUUAGCGGAUGACUUGUGGCUGGGGGUGAAAGGCCAAUCAAACCGGGAGAUAGCUGGUUCUCCCCGAAAGCUAUUUAGGUAGCGCCUCGUGAACUCAUCUCCGGGGGUAGAGCACUGUUUCGGCAAGGGGGUCAUCCCGACUUACCAACCCGAUGCAAACUGCGAAUACCGGAGAAUGUUAUCACGGGAGACACACGGCGGGUGCUAACGUCCGUCGUGAAGAGGGAAACAACCCAGACCGCCAGCUAAGGUCCCAAAGUCAUGGUUAAGUGGGAAACGAUGUGGGAAGGCCCAGACAGCCAGGAUGUUGGCUUAGAAGCAGCCAUCAUUUAAAGAAAGCGUAAUAGCUCACUGGUCGAGUCGGCCUGCGCGGAAGAUGUAACGGGGCUAAACCAUGCACCGAAGCUGCGGCAGCGACGCUGAUGCGUUGUUGGGUAGGGGAGCGUUCUGUAAGCCUGCGAAGGUGUGCUGUGAGGCAUGCUGGAGGUAUCAGAAGUGCGAAUGCUGACAUAAGUAACGAUAAAGCGGGUGAAAAGCCCGCUCGCCGGAAGACCAAGGGUUCCUGUCCAACGUUAAUCGGGGCAGGGUGAGUCGACCCCUAAGGCGAGGCCGAAAGGCGUAGUCGAUGGGAAACAGGUUAAUAUUCCUGUACUUGGUGUUACUGCGAAGGGGGGACGGAGAAGGCUAUGUUGGCCGGGCGACGGUUGUCCCGGUUUAAGCGUGUAGGCUGGUUUUCCAGGCAAAUCCGGAAAAUCAAGGCUGAGGCGUGAUGACGAGGCACUACGGUGCUGAAGCAACAAAUGCCCUGCUUCCAGGAAAAGCCUCUAAGCAUCAGGUAACAUCAAAUCGUACCCCAAACCGACACAGGUGGUCAGGUAGAGAAUACCAAGGCGCUUGAGAGAACUCGGGUGAAGGAACUAGGCAAAAUGGUGCCGUAACUUCGGGAGAAGGCACGCUGAUAUGUAGGUGAAGUCCCUUGCGGAUGGAGCUGAAAUCAGUCGAAGAUACCAGCUGGCUGCAACUGUUUAUUAAAAACACAGCACUGUGCAAACACGAAAGUGGACGUAUACGGUGUGACGCCUGCCCGGUGCCGGAAGGUUAAUUGAUGGGGUCAGCGCAAGCGAAGCUCUUGAUCGAAGCCCCGGUAAACGGCGGCCGUAACUAUAACGGUCCUAAGGUAGCGAAAUUCCUUGUCGGGUAAGUUCCGACCUGCACGAAUGGCGUAAUGAUGGCCAGGCUGUCUCCACCCGAGACUCAGUGAAAUUGAACUCGCUGUGAAGAUGCAGUGUACCCGCGGCAAGACGGAAAGACCCCGUGAACCUUUACUAUAGCUUGACACUGAACAUUGAGCCUUGAUGUGUAGGAUAGGUGGGAGGCUUGGAAGUGUGGACGCCAGUCUGCAUGGAGCCGACCUUGAAAUACCACCCUUUAAUGUUUGAUGUUCUAACGUUGACCCGUAAUCCGGGUUGCGGACAGUGUCUGGUGGGUAGUUUGACUGGGGCGGUCUCCUCCUAAAGAGUAACGGAGGAGCACGAAGGUUGGCUAAUCCUGGUCGGACAUCAGGAGGUUAGUGCAAUGGCAUAAGCCAGCUUGACUGCGAGCGUGACGGCGCGAGCAGGUGCGAAAGCAGGUCAUAGUGAUCCGGUGGUUCUGAAUGGAAGGGCCAUCGCUCAACGGAUAAAAGGUACUCCGGGGAUAACAGGCUGAUACCGCCCAAGAGUUCAUAUCGACGGCGGUGUUUGGCACCUCGAUGUCGGCUCAUCACAUCCUGGGGCUGAAGUAGGUCCCAAGGGUAUGGCUGUUCGCCAUUUAAAGUGGUACGCGAGCUGGGUUUAGAACGUCGUGAGACAGUUCGGUCCCUAUCUGCCGUGGGCGCUGGAGAACUGAGGGGGGCUGCUCCUAGUACGAGAGGACCGGAGUGGACGCAUCACUGGUGUUCGGGUUGUCAUGCCAAUGGCACUGCCCGGUAGCUAAAUGCGGAAGAGAUAAGUGCUGAAAGCAUCUAAGCACGAAACUUGCCCCGAGAUGAGUUCUCCCUGACCCUUUAAGGGUCCUGAAGGAACGUUGAAGACGACGACGUUGAUAGGCCGGGUGUGUAAGCGCAGCGAUGCGUUGAGCUAACCGGUACUAAUGAACCGUGAGGCUUAACCUU